CGCCCUAUCUUCCUUCCCCUCUCCUGUCCUCGUAUUCUUAUUCUUGAUGUUGCCGAGUUGAGAUCCGUAGCGAGUUCUUGAUGGCCGCGCUUGGGUGGCUCAAGAAUCGGCUGGAGGAGGAGUCCCUGCCUACGGAGGAGUGGGAGUGGCGCGGUGACGCCAUGGGGCUGAGCGCCGGCGUGGAGUAGAUGGAGGCAGCCGUCUUCUCGCGGUUGUGCGAGUCCCUGGAGGGGCUCUGCACGUAGUAGAUGGGGCGCGUGCGCGGCGGGGAGCGCGGGGACGGCACCAGGCUCGAGUCCGUCUUGGUGUGCGACAUCUUGCCUGAUUUCUGAUGCUACAGCCUGGCUGGAAGAGCUGCAAUCCCACCAGUACCAUUAAGAGUUGGGGAAGGUGAACCACCCCCUUCUUGGAAUCCGGUACCAACUCCAAUAGGUACAUAAUUCUAUCUAUGUUUAAGUCUAUUCCAAUGAGUAAUUUUUUCUAUUGCAAUGAGUAAAAUUGCCAUGACAACCUGUAUAGUAUUCUCGUUCCUGGAGUACUUUGUUUAGAAACAAGUGGUCAAAUUUUGAGUGGUUAUAUAUGAAACCGAAAAUGGAUACUAGGCCUAUGAGAGAAGUAUAGUAAGUGUUUAUUUGUUUUAAACUAGAAGACUUGAAAAAAGUGAGGCCUUAAUGUAACAAUUCCUAUUCUGAUUUUCUUACUUUAGUGUAACAAAAAUAACAUUUAAAGAAUCAUUAUACAAUUGGAGCUCAAGUUACUUUUGAUUGAUGGUAAUUUUUGUCUUGUAAGGUGUCCUGGACCCCAUGUUUGUGCUAUACUGCUAUUCGAAGAUAAUCCUCUUGGUGAUAUUGUCAAGUUCAUGCUCCUUCUUUGAGUUCGUUAUGCCAAUUGAAUUGGAGUAAAUAUUACCUGGCAGUUAUAUUAACCUCUUGGCUCCUAAGUGAAACUAUGCAAGUGCUGCAUAUUUUCUCGAACACUCGUGCUGCAACUUUACACAUGGAUGGCUUUUAUUUUUUUGUUACUGCAGUUAGGAGAUAAGGCAGCUAUAUGCUUUGAACCGAAGUAAUAUAAGAACUAAUAUUAUCGAUAUUGCAUUAUCUGAUAGUCGUCUCAUUUCACUAUUAUGACUGUAGCAUGAGUUCAUUCUUUUCUUCUACUUACAUCCAUAGUGCCAAAUUAGUCCAGCCUUCAAGGGUGUUACCAUUUCACCAUGUUUAUAUCUUACACCCUAGAUUGGUUUGCUUUGGCCACCUGCGAAGAGUUUUAAUUUGACUUUGUUAGGCUAGGUUAGCAUAUAGUAUCAUUUAUAUGCUUCUAUCUGACUAUAAAUUUAUAUGCUUUAGUUCUGCAAUGAAUAUCUCAUUGAGAGAUCAUAUUAGAAAGAGGAGGGAGGAAGAAGAUGAUGACAUGAUGAUGUUUCUAUUCCCUGCCUUAUAUCUGAUGGGUUCUGCUAGAGAAGGAGGAGUAAAGAAGAAACGUCAUACAUCAGAAGAAACAAGAGAGGUUAAGGUUCGUCGACUCCUUGAGGGACAUAUCAAGAACUGUCAAGUUACAUUUAGGAUGGAACCCCACAUCUUCAAAGAGUUGGCGACUUAUCUUAGAAGGAAAAGACUCGUUGUUGAUACAAGGAUUACGGUGGAGGAGAAGUUGGGUUUCUUCCUAUACAUGUUAAGUCGCAACGCCUCAUAUGAGGAUCCUGCAGUGACCUUUGGGCACAGCAACGACACCGUCCAUCGUCACAUCAACCACUUCUUCAAGAAGGUCAUUCCCACACUUUCUCAUCGUUUCCUCCAGUCCCCCGAUCCUAAUCAAGUGCAUCCGAAAAUCCAAGAUAAUCCUAGAUUCUAUCCAUUCUUCAAGAAUUGUCUUGGUGCCAUUGAUGGAACUCAUAUCCCCGUUUCCAUAUCCCCUGAGAAGCAUUCUCCUUUUAGGAAUAGAAAGGGCACACUAAGCAUUAAUGUGAUGGUGGCAUGUGAUUUUGAUCUCAACAUCACUUUUAUUUAUAGUAGAUGGGAGGGAUCAGCUACAGAUUCCAGAGUGCUAAGAUCGGCUAUGAGCAAGGGCUUCCAGGUACCUCCAGGCAAAUUCUAUCCGGUUGAUAGAGGGUAUGCAAAUACUCCAUCUUUCCUCGCUCCAUAUCGAGAGGUUCGAUACCAUUUGAAAGAAUUUGGAGCUGGACAUCGAAGACCACAAAACUCAAAGGAGCUCUUCAACCACUGCCACGCACUACUGAGGAACCAUGUCGAAAGGACUUUGGGAGUGCUUAAGAAGCGCUUCCCCAUUCUCAAAGUUGCCACAUUCCUACGUUAGAAAAUCAAGUGAAAAAUACCUAUAGCUGCAUCCAUCUUCCACAAUCUAAUCCGAUUACUUCAUGGAGACGAGGAAUGGUUGGAUCAUCAGCCGGAUAAUAUUGAUCCAACACACUUUGUUUCUUUACCCAAUGGCGAUCAAAACAAUGACUCAGGCACUGCACAAGGCAAUGCUUUGAGAGAUACCAUCGUCCAAGAAAUGUGGGUUCAGUACCAGCAACAUGUAAAUUAGUUUUCAUGAAUUAAUAAGCUUGUAUCAUGAAUAAGUUGAUGAAUAAGUUAAUAAGCUUGUAUCAUGAAUAAGUUUUUUCUUUUGAAAAGUGAUGGUUGGAAAAGGCUCCCCAAAGCUCAAUGUGAUUGCAAGGGGGUCGCCAAAGUUGAGUAGUUUCCUGCCUACAACAAGUGCUAUAAAAAAAGAAGUCUUCUCCUACAUGCAGUGGGGCAAAGAGGAGUGGAGGAAAACAAAGAGCGGACUGGAACCCAACUUUUGAGAAAUCACUUGUUGAAAUUCUGCAUGAGUAUAAAGAUAGUGGCUAUAGAAGUGACAACGGUUGGAACACUGAAGGGUGGAACAAGAUGGUGAAGGAGUUCCAUCUGAGAAACAAGUCUGUCUCAUACACAAAGGCACAAAUUCAAGAUAAAUAAUGUCAGCUUAAGAGAGGCUACAAGAUGCUCAAAGCGGCAAGAAUGCAAAGUGGGUCAAAAUGGAAUGAGC